CAACAGUUCGAUGGCUGAGGCGAGACAAAGGUUUCCCCUGUUUAUCAAGGGCUGGAGCCCGGGGACGGCGCGCCGUCAGGUGCUGAGAAUGGAACCCAGGGCCUCACCAUGCUAAAAAUAUCUUAUAGUGGCUUUGGAGAAAAUUAAUAUGGGAUGCUGUGCUAGGGUCCUGGAGAGUACUUUACUGAGGUGGUAAUAUACACUGCUUUGGAGAGGUGAUGCUUAAACCGAGACCUCAGUGAUGAGAAGAAACCAGCUCUGAAGCCACUUGGACCUUUCAAGCAGAGGGACAAACUGGCCAGGCCUUCAGGCAGGAAAGAGCUUGCUAUGUUUGAGGAACAAAAAGAAGAGAUCAGAAAGUUUGGCAGGGAACAGAUUAGGUAAAAUUUAUAAAUGUUUGGUAAGGAGUUUGGGUUAUAUGCUAGUGGCAGUGGCAAGCUGUGGGAGGCUUUAAGCCAAGGAGGGCCAUGAGGUGGUUUCUGUUUUCAAAUUUCCUUCUGAAUGUUGCGUAAAGAGUGG
rnacentral:lncRNA from 1 species